UACGGAGGGUGCAAGCGUUAUCCGGAUUCACUGGGUUUAAAGGGUGCGUAGGCGGGUUGGUAAGUCCGUGGUGAAAUCUCCAAGCUUAACUUGGAAACUGCCGUGGAUACUAUCAAUCUUGAAUAUAGUGGAGGUGAGCGGAAUAUGUCAUGUAGCGGUGAAAUGCUUAGAUAUGACAUAGAACACCCAUUGCGAAGGCAGCUCGCUACACUAUUAUUGACGCUGAGGCACGAAAGCGUGGGGGAUCAAAACAGG
rnacentral:rRNA from 1 species